GACGAACGCUGGCGGCGUGCUUAACACAUGCAAGUCGAACGGAAAGUCCCUGCUUUUGUGGGGUGCUCGAGUGGCGAACGGGUGAGUAACACGUGAGUAACCUGCCCUUGACUUCGGGAUAACUUCAGGAAACUGGGGCUAAUACCUGCUAGGAGCUCCUGCUUCAUGGUUGGGGUUGGAAAGUUUCUGCGGUUGGGGAUGGACUCGCGGCUUAUCAGCUUGUUGGUGGGGUAGUGGCUUACCAAGGCUUUGACGGGUAGCCGGCCUGAGAGGGUGACCGGCCACAUUGGGACUGAGAUACGGCCCAGACUCCUACGGGAGGCAGCAGUGGGGAAUAUUGCACAAUGGGCGGAAGCCUGAUGCAGCAACGCCGCGUGCGGGAUGACGGCCUUCGGGUUGUAAACCGCUUUCGCCUGUGACGAAGCGUGAGUGACGGUAAUGGGUAAAGAAGCACCGGCUAACUACGUG
rnacentral:rRNA from 1 species